rnacentral:lncRNA from 1 species
CUCCGGCAUCUUUUUGGUCCUGAAGAUCGCAUUGAACAACCUGGAGAGCCACUCCACUCCUAACCUACCCAUGCAUUUCCAGAACUCUACCGGGAUCUCGUCAGGCCCGGUCGCUCGACCUCUACUCAUACUACGCAAAGCCCCCAUGACCUCCUCCGCCCUAAUGCGCCUGCAAUACCCAAGGUCUAUAUGUUGCUCUGAAUGCCCCAACUCCCCUAGCUCUAUGUUACGAUCCCCCNN